GUGCUCGCUUCGGCAGCACAUAUACUAAAAUUGGAAUGAUACAGAAAAGAUUAGCAUGGCCCCUGCACAAGGAUGAAAUGCAAAGCAUGUGAAGCAUUCCAUAAAUCA